rnacentral:other from 1 species
UAAGCCCUGCGAUGUACGUGCCUACCGAUUGUUUUGAGCCACAAAUGUUUUAUCGGGAGUUUUGCGUCCGGCCGGCGAAGACAUGCCUCGUUCGAGUGGAAGUCUGAUGCUGGUCGGCCAUGCACCCACCUGCUAGCUGGCAGGUUCAAAACUGAGGUACAGUACGGCAUAACGGGGCUUUU